GGGCCUAUAGUUCAGUGGAUAGAAUGCUGGCUUGCGGAGCCGGUGACCUGGGUUCGACUCCCAGUGGGCCCA
rnacentral:tRNA from 1 species